CUCUCUUGCCCAUAUUUAGUCUCGACCACAUUUCGGAAAAUAUAAAAAGUAUUUUAGAGGUUGCUAAGCUGAUGGGGUGGCCGUACCUGCGGGUUUUCGGACUGCCUCCGAGGUCCGAACACAUUACAAAAGGUCCGAACAAAUCCGAACGAGGUCCUAACAUGCUCCUAACCAGGUCCGAACAUAUUCCUUCAGAGAUCAAAGAGUUUCGAAUGAGAUCCGAACACAGUUCCGAACAGUAUAGGUCACGUGACGCGGGAGGGGCGGGAAUAUACGAUGAACAUCGCGUUAGAGUCGCAGCCAUUUUUUCCACCGCUUGCGGGAGAUAAAACAUCGGUAGAAAGAUGAAGGAAGCAAAGCCUGAUUCCUAUUGGAGGGAUGUAUGCCUCAAGUAUGCUCGGGGCCAAUUCCAUUUUACCACAGGCAAACGGCCAGGGGCCAAAAAAUGGAAAAAGGCCUUAGAAAAAAUAGAUGCUUGCCCGCUGCAGAAGCAAAUUAACACCAAGGAUCUGUUUGGGAGAAGCCUUAAGUGCUCCUGUGGGUUCCACAAGCCAGCAGAUCUGUCAUCAGGCGCUGCUGGGUCUAGUGAGGCAGGAGGAGUUAAGACGGACGAGGCAGGGAGCACGGACGUAGGGAGAGGAGAGACAGAGGCAGCGAGAGGAGGCACAGAGGCAGCGAGAGGAGGCACAGAGGCAGCGAGAGGAGGAGAGACAGAGGCAGCGAGAGGAGGAGAGACAGAGGCAGCGAGAGGAGGAGAGACAGAGGCAGCGAGAGGAGGAGAGACAGAGGCAGCGAGAGGAGGAGACACAGAGGCAGCGAGAGGAGGAGAGACAGAGGCAGCGAGAGGAGGAGACACAGAGGCAGCGAGAGGAGGAGACACAGAGGCAGGGGCAGUCAACGCAGAGGCAGGGAGAGGAGACGCAGAAGCAGGAGAGGGAGUGCAGUGCUGCCUGUGCAACCUGCAUGUGGAGGGAGACCGGUUCACCCAGCACCUGUCGGACCACCACACGGAGGAGCAGUGUGAUACCUGUGGGGCCAAGGUGCAGGGUGCUGUUGGUCUUUUGAACCACAUCGAAGUGGUUCACUAUGCCUUCAGGGUACCAUCAAAGCCGUCUCUGCCCCCUUCUUCAUCCUGCUCUGCCGCGCCACACCACACGGCAGCUCCACCACCUGCAGCACACUUCAGGGUACCAUCAAAGCCGUCUCUGCCCCCUUCUUCACCCUGCUCUGCCGCGCCACACCACACGGCAGCUCCACCACCUGCAGCACACUUCAGGGUACCAUCAGAGCCGUCUCUGCCCCCUUCUUCAUCCUACUCUGCCGCGCCACACCACACGGCAGCUCCACCACCUGCAGCACACUUCAGGGUACCAUCAAAGCCGUCUCUGCCCCCUUCUUCACCCUGCUCUGCCGCGCCACACCACACGGCAGCUCCACCACCUGCAGCACACUUCAGGGUACCAUCAGAGCCGUCUCUGCCCCCUUCUUCAUCCUGCUCUGCCGCGCCACACCACACGGCAGCUCCACCACCUGCAGCACAGAGGGUCAACUGGAAAGGUUUCCUGCCUGACCAGUUCAGAAGGGUGAUCCAGGAAGCCGAUCAGGUCUGGGUUUCCAAAUGCUUGUAUGAGCCUACAGGCCAACUCAAGCAAAAGAUCCAGGCCUGCUGGUUUCACCCUCCACUGGAGCCCAAACCAUCCCCUCCUGAGCCUGGCUGGUACUUCCGGCAGAGGCUGUUUAUCUGGGCACCGAUGAGGAUGUGGGGGAUCCCCUCAAAGUGCCCCCAGUGUUCCUCAAAGAUGAACAGCUCCGGGAUUUACCGGAAGGUAAGGGAGGUGAUCGACGUGGAUAGCCGCUAUUAUCUUGUGGGAGCGGACUAUCCACGUUGCUGCAGGUGCUCGCAGCCGGUCUGCCCAUGGAGCUGCGACAUGCUCUCGCAGCUGGAUGUGGCACACAGGAGCCUGUUUCCCGCUGUCCUCACAACACAGCUGGCUCUGGAUAGGAAAGUGAUGACCUUCCUGAAGCCGAGGACCAGCGGGAACAGUUCCUCCUACCUCCAGUCUGCCAUAGCGGAAGGUCACAGCGAGGAGUGGGCCCGGCAGACCAUCCGCUACCUGGCUGACUGCGAGCUGCACAAAAAGAUGGCUACAUUUGUCCUCUCUGCAGCCAUAUACCCUCCUCCACCACCCUUCAGGCCCCUUCCACUCGCCCAGUGGUUUGAGACAGUCCACUCCAACGACAUCCUCAGCCACGUGGAGGAGAUGAAGGGUGUGAUCACUUCAACCUAUGGGAGAAUCCUGAAAAUGGACUCCACAAAGAAGGUGAGGGUUUCAACAGUAGAAAAAUAUACAAAAUUGUAUAAUUACAACCAAACAGGAAAUUGGUUUACUUCAUAG
ensembl:lncRNA